GCAGCGGGGGCGCUGAGCGAGGCAGCCCCCGGCUCUCCGCCACCGGCUCGGCGCCAGCCGCCGGUGCCCGCCGGGUCGCUGGCGGCGGCGGGGGCGGCGGCGGGGCCGCGGGAUCCGUCCGCGCUCGCUGCCCCCGUGUAGUUCUCGAGUCGUCUGUCCUCGGCGGCGGUCCGCGGGUGACAUGCAGUCCCUCAUCUCUCCGGUGACCAAGGCUAUCCUGGUGGCUUUGUUCAUCUUCGCCAUCCUGCUGAUCCUCUACGUGAUUCUGUGGUACAUCUGCCGCGAUGUGGAUUGCGACCAUGGGAUCUGAGCGGCGCCGCGGGGCUAGGGCUUAGGAGCCGGGAUUCACCCCGCGGGGCCGGGAGCGGCAGCGGGAGCCCCUCCGGGCGGCAGCCGCCGCCACCGCGGCCGAGCAGGGGAACAGAAGGGGAAGGAAAGAAAAGAGGAAAAAAGAAAAAAAAAAACAAAACAAAACAAAAAUCGAGCGAAGGACCGAGCCGAAAGAGCCCGGAGGACAACUGCGAUCAAGAAACCAACCUGAGCUUGACCUUCAGAGACCAGGGUGACCCGGGUACUGUGCAACUUCACUUUCUUGGAUCAACUGUGCAAAAACCGCAUCAGUGUCUCUGCCUAACAAAUGCUCCCCGAAGAACCGUGAAGAUCCUGAUCGUGUUUGCAAGGGCACCCUGUUAGCUUGCACACAUCACCCAUGUCCUCAGUGCCCAAUUCAUGGCCAUAACCUCCUGCUUCCUCUUGCACUGGGCAGGCUGGGUGAGGCUGCAGAAACAGGCAUCUGGCUCUGGGUGUCUGUGCCACAGUGUCCCUUCGUCAAGACAUCAACCAUCACACACGAGCGUUAACUACUUGCCCUUCUCCAGCCUGGAAGAGGCGCCUGUGGAGGAAGACGUUCCCUUGAGCAGAAAUAAGAAGAUGGACAACAAAGUGUAAUGUUCCUGAGUUCGCCAAAAAUAUUUUACUUACCAAAUGACACAGCUUUCAUGGGCUGAGAGACCUUUGGCAGGGAGGAACUGUGGAGCAGGAAAUCUGGGCUCAUUUCGCUGUACAUAUCAGGCUGUGGCCAAAACCAAAGUAGCUGUGCUAACAUGUGAAAAGUCAUCUGAUGAAAGGCUGCUGCCAAAGAGGCCCAACUUGGAGGAGGAAUAGCCUUAAUACAUUAUAUUUCUUAGUUUUGGUUCCAGAUGAUGUCUGUGUCUCAUGACUGUAAUAAUACUCAAUCAUCAUGCUAUAAUGAAGGGCUUUUCAUGUAAUCAUCUGUAGAACUGAUUACUUUGGUCUGUACCGUUAUCAUGCUGAGCUUCCUGGCAAAAUUCCACUGACAUCAGUAAGAGAAGGAUUGGACCUUUCCUCAGCAGUUUACCACUUUUGUUUGACAAUACCAUGCUUUUCAGACACUUCACAGAGCAGAUUAAACAUUUAGACUCUUAAUUCCUGAAAUAUUAAAAAGGUACUGUAGAGAUAA